rnacentral:rRNA from 1 species
AUACGUAGGUGGCGAGCGUUGUCCGGAAUUACUGGGUGUAAAGGGCGUGUAGGCGGGGGUGCAAGUCAGAUGUGAAAACCCAAGGCUCAACUUUGGGAUUGCAUCUGAAACUGUGCUUCUUGAGUACUGGAGAGGGAAGCGGAAUUCCUAGUGUAGCGGUGAAAUGCGUAGAGAUUAGGAGGAACACCAGUGGCGAAGGCGGCUUCCUGGACAGAGACUGACGCUGAGGCGCGAAAGCGUGGGUAGCGAACAGGAUUAGAUACCCUGGUAGUCCACGCCGUAAACGAUGGAUACUAGGUGUAGGAGGUAUCGACUCCUUCUGUGCCGGAGUUAACACAAUAAGUAUCCCACCUGGGGAGUACGGCCGCAAGGUUGAA